UACGCAGGGGACUAGCGUUGUUCGGAAUUACUGGGCGUAAAGCGCACGUAGGCGGAUUUGUUAGUCAGGGGUGAAAUCCCGGGGCUCAACCUCGGAACUGCCUUUGAUACUGCAAAUCUCGAGUCCGAUAGAGGUGGGUGGAAUUCCUAGUGUAGAGGUGAAAUUCGUAGAUAUUAGGAAGAACACCGGUGGCGAAGGCGGCCCACUGGAUCGGUACUGACGCUGAGGUGCGAAAGCGUGGGGAGCAAACAGG
rnacentral:rRNA from 1 species